UGCGCUCACUAUUGUAUGUCGCUCUGCAUAAGAGCGUCUGCUAAAUGACAAUGU
rfam:Salmo salar isolate Sally breed double haploid chromosome ssa01, whole genome shotgun sequence.